rnacentral:rRNA from 1 species
AUUGAACGCUGGCGGCAUGCCUAACACAUGCAAGUCGAACGAAGGCUUCGGCCUUAGUGGCGCACGGGUGCGUAACGCGUGGGAAUCUGCCCUCAGGUUCGGAAUAACAGCGAGAAAUUGCUGCUAAUACCGGAUGAUAUCGCGAGAUCAAAGAUUUAUCGCCUGAGGAUGAGCCCGCGUAGGAUUAGCUAGUCGGUGUGGUAAAGGCGCACCAAGGCGACGAUCCUUAGCUGGUCUGAGAGGAUGAUCAGCCACACUGGGACUGAGACACGGCCCAGACUCCUACGGGAGGCAGCAGUGGGGAAUAUUGGACAAUGGGCGAAAGCCUGAUCCAGCAAUGCCGCGUGAGUGAUGAAGGCCUUAGGGUUGUAAAGCUCUUUUACCCGGGAUGAUAAUGACAGUACCGGGAGAAUAAGCUCCGGCUAACUCCGUGCCAGCAGCCGCAGUAA